UAAGGAAUAUUGGACAAUGGUCGCAAGACUGAUCCAGCCAUGCCGCGUGCAGGAAGACGGGCCUAUGGGUUGUAAACUGCUUUUGUACCAGAGAAAACCUAUCUACGUGUAGAUAGCUGAUAGUAUGGUAAGAAUAAGCAUCGGCUAACUUCGUGCCAGCAGCCGCGGUAAGACGAAGGAUGCAAGCGUUAUCCGGAUUCAUUGGGUUUAAAGGGUGCGUAGGCGGGCUUGUAAGUCAGUGGUGAAAUCUCUCAGCUUAACUGAGAAACUGCCAUUGAUACUGCAGGCCUAGAGUAUAGAUGACGUUGGCGGAAUAUGACAUGUAGUGGUGAAAUACUUAGAUAUGUCAUAGAACACCGAUUGCGAAGGCAGCUAACGAAACUAUAACUGACGCUGAGGCACGAAAGUGCGGGGAUCAAACA
rnacentral:rRNA from 1 species